rnacentral:rRNA from 1 species
UACGGGGGGGGCAAGCGUUGUUCGGAAUUACUGGGCGUAAAGGGCUCGUAGGCGGCCAACUAAGUCGGAUGUGAAAUCCCCAGGCUUAACCUGGGAACUGCAUCCGAUACUGGAUGGCUUGAAUCCGGGAGAGGGAUGCAGAAUUCCAGGUGUAGCGGUGAAAUGCGUAGAUAUGUGGAGGAAUACCAGUGGCGAAGGCGGCUUGCUGGACAGUUACUGACGCUGAGGCACGAAAGCGUGGGGAGCAAACAGG